GCUCAACAAUUACAUUUUGCCCAUUUGAUAUUUCUACAGAACAAAAUCAAAAGCCACCUGGAUCAUGUUAUUUUUCCGAAUCAUUAACAAAUGACUUAUUUCAAUAUCUCAAAAUCAUUGCACGCUCGUUUAAUCUUGUGUGAGCGGGAUCAUAUGAACUGCCCCUUAGAAAAAUCUACCUAAAUAAGAAAGUUACGUGCUAUGCAGGUUUGAUAUACCACAUCAGACACUAGUUUAUUCGAAAUAUACAAAUUACAAAAUAAUAAAUACUUAAUUACAACAUACAUAUAUAUUUACUCUCGGUUACAAAAAAUAUCCCAAAUUUUGUGUGAUUUUGAGGAAAUUAUCCAUUCGGGACAUUUUUUGAUACACCCUGUAUAUGCAUUGCUCAACUAAAAGCAUGCAGAAAUAAAAAAUCAGGGGUGGGUUACCAGUAACACCAUGCAGGGACAAGACCAAAGAUUAAAAUUAAGAAAUGCAUAUAAUAUCAUUACUAAAAUAUUAAAACAAAUACUGUAUGUUUGUGUUCUCUUAACAGUUCUCCUGCUUCUCCAGUUCACAUUGAAUCUUUUUCUUGCAUUCUUAGUUAAUUUCGAAAAAUUCUUGGGCCUAUCCACCUCAGUUAAGGCAUUUGCUGUCAGCAUGG